rnacentral:rRNA from 1 species
UACGUAGGUGGCAAGCGUUGUCCGGAUUUAUUGGGUUUAAAGGGUGCGUAGGCGGCUUUGUAAGUCAGUGGUGAAAUAUGGCAGCUCAACUGUCAAGGUGCCAUUGAUACUGCGGAGCUUGAGUACAGAUGAGGUAGGCGGAAUUGACGGUGGUAGCGGUGAAAUGCUUAGAUAUCGAUCAAGAACACCUAUAGCGAAGGCAGCUUACUAGGCUGUAACUGACGCUGAGGCACGAAAGUGUGGGGAGUCAAACAGG